UUGUGCAAAAUGUGGAAAGGAAGAAGAAAUUGUUAUUCCGUUUAAUAAAGAACCAGAACCUUCAGAAAAUACUGAAAGUGAAGGUUCCAACCAUAGAAGAAGCUGCAAACGGAAGGAAGACAGUGAUGAGGACUUAGAUGCUGAGUCUGACUCAGAGGGCGAGGAUGAGGACACUCAGGCCUGACUGCACCUCACGUGCAGAGGGCGUCGGCAAAGGCUGUUCCAGUAGGCAGAACUGGCUCAGGAGCAACGCUUUUGCAACUAGAGGUAACAUGUGAGGGGAUUCUAGGAAAGAAUUACCAAGAAAAAGAAACAGUUCGGCUCUUCCUGCCUCAGUGUGCUGUGAGAAGACAUGACUAGAACCUGUAGCCACUGUGAGGAAAUGCAUUGAGCUGCAGAGACAGCGGCCCAGUUCUAUGAUGCUAGUCAGAAGCUGCUGACCUCGGGAAUCCUGGGCCCACCCCAACCUCCCAGUGCUUGUGAGGGAAAUAAAUGUCUCCGCAAGCUACUGCCCGCCAGAAAUCCAGCUAUUUGCAGCCAGCAUUCCAGCUGACACCAAAACAAUUUUGUGACACCUAAUCUAUUGCACUUAAAGCUGUGGCAGCAAGAAAUAAAUUCCUACAUUAAAUACAA
rnacentral:lncRNA from 1 species